GUUGAACGCUGGCGGUAUGCUUAACACAUGCAAGUCGAACGAUGAGAAAGAGCUUGCUCUUUCGAUUAGUGGCGGACGGGUGCGUAACGCGUAGGAAUCUACCUAUUAGUGGGGGACAACUUAGGGAAACUUAAGCUAAUACCGCAUACGCCCUACGGGGGAAAGAAGGGGAUCGCAAGACCUUUUGCUAAUAGAUGAGCCUGCGUAGGAUUAGCUAGUUGGUGGGGUAAAAGCUCACCAAGGCGACGAUCCUUAACUGGUUUGAGAGAAUGAUCAGUCACACUGGAACUGAGACACGGUCCAGACUCCUACGGGAGGCAGCAGUGGGGAAUAUUGGACAAUGGGCGAAAGCCUGAUCCAGCAAUACCGCGUGUGUGAAGAAAGCCUUAGGGUUGUAAAGCACUUUCAAUUGGAAGGAAAACCUCGAAGCUAAUACCUUCGAGUUUGACAUUACCUUUAGAAGAAGCACCGGCUAACUCCGUGCCAGCCGCCGCGGUAA
rnacentral:rRNA from 1 species